ACGCAGUUUCAGGGCGGGGUGAAAGUCCCCACUGGCGGUAAGCGUGCGUCACCGUGUUGCGCGCAAGUCCGCGAACCGCACAGAAAAGAGCGGUUGACCUGGUGAGAUUCCAGGACCAACGGUCACAGUCCGGAUGGAAGAAACGGAGG
rfam:Olsenella sp. HMSC062G07 Olsenella_spHMPREF2826-1.0_Cont164.4, whole genome shotgun sequence.